rfam:Asian citrus Psyllid, Diaphorina citri - Florida Strain, whole genome shotgun sequence.
CGAUUUUCCUCGCCGCAGUGGAACGUCGCGACUCGCUGGGAAGCGGUCGACGCGGUCCGAGUGGAGCUCGGCGCUGACGAGUCCCCGGGAGGGGAGUGCUCCGAGUGGCGCCGAACCUCGGACUCGCUGGCCGGAGUCCCGGCGGUAGUUUCGAACGCACGCGGUUUGGAUACGCUUCUCCUCGUGUGGGGCGCGCCGAGUCGGCGGACGGUAUCUUUCUCGCGUCGGUGCGUGUUGACGCGGCCCUUGCUGGCCGUCUUCCGUGCCGGGUGACGGGGGCCGUUCGUCGGCGUCCGAUGGCGCCGUAUCCCGAACCAGUCGGCGACGACAACCCGAGUCGAGCUCUCGUUCGACCCGUCUUGAAACACGGACCAAGGAGUCUAACGUGUGUGCGAGUCGUUGGGUUCCGCGCCGGCGCCCCUAGUGACGUCGGCGCGACCGCAGACGAAACCCGUUGAGGCGAAAAGAAAUUGAAAACGAGUCCAGCACUCGUCGAGGGAAGAUGGCGACGGAUCCGGCCCCCCCGUUCAUCGGGGGGGUUCCCCGAGCAGAUCGGCCCGCAUUCCCGGGGUGCCUCAUCCGCCGGUCGGCCGUCAAAACGCCGGCCGACGAGAGGUGCGCCCAGAGCACACACGCUAGGACCCGAAAGAUGGUGAACUAUGCCUGGCCAGGACGAAGUCAGGGGAAACCCUGAUGGAGGUCCGAAACGAUUCUGACGUGCAAAUCGAUCGUCGGAGCUGGGUAUAGGGGCGAAAGACUAAUCGAACUAUCUAGUAGCUGGUUCCCUCCGAAGUUUCCCUCAGGAUAGCUGGCGCUCGGAGGUGGUACGAACGAACUCAACUGAGUCUCUUCCGGUAAAGCGAAUGAUUAGAGGCCUUGGGGCCGAAACGACCUCAACCUAUUCUCAAACUUUAAAUGGGUGAGAACCCCGGCUUGCUCGAGAUGUUUGAAGCCGCGGGCCUUGGAUCACUUGAGUGCCAAGUGGGCCAAUUUUGGUAAGCAGAACUGGCGCUGUGGGAUGAACCAAACGCCGAGCUACGGCGACUAAAUCGACGCUCAUGGGAGACCAGAAAAGGCGUUGGUUGCUACCGACAGCAGGGCGGUGGCCAUGGAAGUCGGACAUCCGCUAAGGAGUGUGUAACAACUCACCUGCCGAAGCAACUAGCCCUGAAAAUGGAUGCCGCUGAAGCGGCGGGCCUCUGCUCGGCCGUCAGUGGCAGAGUGGGCUGUCCGGUACGCGUACCGGCCCGGCAGACCCGGUAAGCCCUGACGAGUAGGAGGGCGCAGUGGUGUGCGCAGAAGGGACCGAGCCGUAAGGCCGCCUGGAAGCCGCCACUGGUACAGAUCUUGGUGGUAGUAGCAAAUAAUCGAAUGAGAUCUUGGAGGACUGAAGUGGAGGAAGGGUUUCGUUGUGAACAGUGGUUGAUCACGAGUUAGUCGAUCCUAAGCUUAUGCGAAAGCUGUUUAAUUUAUGUUACAAUACGAUAGUAUUUUGUUGUACAUAAUAACACAAAUAAACAGCGAAAGACGAAUACGGUUCCAAUUCCGUAACCUGGGGAACCCCUUGAUUAUACGUUUGUCUAUUAAAACUCGGCGUCUUCUUACACUCACUGGCAACACAAACGACCAUAGAGAAGCCUUCGAGGAUACUGAAGAGCUUUUCUUUUCUGCUAAACAAACGCUACCACCAUGGAAAUCUUUUAUAGAGAGAUAAUGUUGGAUGGCUUGCGUAAGGAGCCAUGACAUUUACUGUUGUGUCAGUAUUUUCUCCUAAGACCUGAAAAUCUAAUAGUGGGCCACGCAAACUUCUCAACAGACCUACCGAUAUCGCAGAUCCGCCGUCUCCAGGGUGAAGAGUCUCUAGUCGAUAGAAUAAUGUAGGUAAGGCGAAGUCGGCCAAAUUAGAUCCGUAACUUCGCGAGAUAAUGAUGGCUCUGAAGAUUGAGAUUGUCGGGCCUUGAUUGGGACACGUUUAUAACGGUAAGUGCCUCGUUCUGGGUAAAUAGGUUGGUGUUCUGCAUCGAGCGUCCCCGGAUAGAAGAUUCAUAGCCAAAAUGUGGAACUUUCUUGCGAGAUGGUGACGGCCGCUUAACGCGCUUUCCAUCACAAACGCUUAUCAAUAACAAUUAAUUCGAACUGCGCCACGACCUGGUGAAACCGACUGUCUAAUAAAACAAGACAUUGCUGAUGCCUAGCGGGUGUUGACACAAUGUGCAUUUCUGGCCCAGUGCUCUGAAUGUCAAAGUGAAGAAAUUCAAGAAGCGCGCGGUAAACGGCACCGAGUAACUAUGACUCUCUUAAGGUAGCCAAUGCCUCGUCAUCUAAUUAGUGACGGCGCAUGAAUGGAUUAACGAGAUUCCUACUGUCCCUACUACUAUCUAGCGAAACCACAGCCCAAGGGAACGGGCUGAGAAUAAUUAGCGGGGAAAUAAAGACCUGUUGAGCUUGACUCAUAGGUCUGGCACUGUAAGGAACAUAAGGGCGUGUAGGCAUAAUGGGAGAUGUGUACUUUCGGCGGGUUGCAUAUCAACAAUGAGAAUACCACUACCCUUAUGGUUUCCUUACUACUUGGAUUUAGGUGGACGUGUAUCAUAUUACUUAGCCAUUUAAUGGAUAACACACUUCAUUGAGUAUUCUUAUGGUAUUUUGUUGAUGCGAACUUCUAGUUUCCAAAAAGUAUCCGGUUUUGUUAUUCAUUACCCUACAAAUUUCGCUAAUAUAGAUUGUCCCUGUCGUGGAUUCGUCUGUUGCCGCGCGAUUGAUAUAGCAAUUUGGUUUAACUUUUGUGGCCUAGAUAUGAUCCAUCAAGCGACACUGCCAGGUGGCGGAGUUUCGACUGGGGCGCGUACAUCUCUCACAUAAUAACGGAAGUGUCCGAAGGCCAGCUCAGCUGCGGCAGAAACCGACACAUAGAUCAAAAGCCGGGGCAAAUGCUGGCUUGAUCUCGUCCCGUAUUCAGUACAUACAGAGGACGGCAAAAGCUCGGCCUAUCGAUCCUUUUGGUUUAACGAGUUUUUUUAGCAAGAGCCCGUGGUCAGAAAAAGUUACCACAGGGAUAUCUGACUUGUGGCCCCAGGUUCAUAGCGACGUCGGCUUAUUGAUUCCUUCGGAUGUCGGGCUCUCCUAUCAUUGUGAAGCAAAAUUCACCCCAAGCGCUGGUUGUUCACCCAUGCAAGGUAACGUGAGCUGGGUUUAGACCGUCAUGAGGACCAGGUUAGUUCUACCCUUACUGAAUGACUAUAGUUGCUUCCAACUUGACGAUUCCAGCCGUAGUACGAGGUAGGAACCGCAGGACGGACCUAUGGGCUUAACUGCUUGUUCGGACGCGAACAGUGGUAUGACGUCUACGUCCGUCGAUUAUGGCCUGAACGCCUCUAAGUCGUCGUAUCCGAGGUCUGGAUGGAGAACAUAGCCAAAGGGGUCACCGUAGUCCUUAGGGCAAAUACCACUUAAGGAAUGUCAUUCGCCUUAGCGUGGGUUUGACCAGUAGUUUGAUGCUAAUUGCUUGCCUGAAUAUAGCGAGGACGGGAGCGAAAGACCCCCGUUCGACGAGCUAAUUUGUAGUCGCGCUAAUCAUUAGGUUAUUGCGAUCUGAAUGCCCGAGAUCAAUUGUAACAGACCUUUGGUAACAGGGCAGGGUGUUGUAAAUGGUAGAGAGAGUGCCAUACUGCGAUCCACUCGAAACUUAUCCCUCGCUUGCCGAUUUGU